rnacentral:rRNA from 1 species
UACAGGGGGGGCAAGCGUUGUUCGGAAUUACUGGGCGUAAAGGGUCUGUAGGUGGCCAACUAAGUCAGACGUGAAAUCCCUCAGCUUAACUGGGGAACUGCGUCUGAUACUGGAUGGCUUGAGUGCAGGAGAGGAAUGCGGAAUUCCAGGUGUAGCGGUGAAAUGCGUAGAUAUCGAGAGGAACACCAGAGGUGAAGACGGGUUGCUGGGCCGACACUGACGCUGAGGCGCGAAAGCCAGGGGAGCAAACGGG